rnacentral:rRNA from 1 species
UACGAAGGGGGCUAGCGUUGCUCGGAAUUACUGGGCGUAAAGGGCGCGUAGGCGGCACUGUUAGUCAGGCGUGAAAGUCCUGGGCUCAACCUGGGAACUGCGCUUGAUACGGCAGAGCUAGAGGAUGGAAGAGGAUCGCGGAAUUCCCGGUGUAGAGGUGAAAUUCGUAGAUAUCGGGAGGAACACCGGUGGCGAAGGCGGCGAUCUGGGUAGAUACUGACGCUGAGGUGCGAAAGCGUGGGGGAGCAAACAGG